UACAGAGGUCUCAAGCGUUGUUCGGAUUCAUUGGGCGUAAAGGGUGCGUAGGUGGUUUGGUAAGUUGAAGGUGAAAUCUCGGAGCUUAACUCCGAAACUGCCUUCAAUACUGCCGGACUCGAGGACUGUAGAGGAGAAUGGAAUUCACGGUGUAGCAGUGAAAUGCGUAGAUAUCGUGAGGAAGACCAGUGGCGAAGGCGAUUCUCUGGGCAGUUCCUGACACUGAGGCACGAAGGCUAGGGGAG
rnacentral:rRNA from 1 species